rnacentral:lncRNA from 1 species
UUUCUGACUUAGGACAGGUGCAAACAUUUGCAGCGGGAUUAAACGUUUUUAUGGAUCCAAACCUUCUCCCUUUUUCUGAAACAAUAGCAUAACAUCACAACUAGAAAAACACACGAUAAAAUAUCAAUUGGCAGGCUUAACUCAAUCAAAAAACCUACAUUAAUACACUAUAAACGAAUAAAUUUGAUCUGCGAUAUCUGAAUGCAA